CUCAUACUCCCUCUGUUUCGAAUUACUUGUCGCACGUAUGGAUGUAUCUAGAUGUAUUUUAGUUCUAGAUACAUCCAUUUCAGCGACGAGUAAUUUGGAACGGAGGGAGUAGUAG
rnacentral:pre_miRNA from 1 species